CUUCACUUCCGCGACCACCGACUAAAGUGGGUAAACCCCCUCCCCUAAAACCCGAGGGGAAAAUAAUCUGUGCAAAAUUAUAAAUCGGGCGGGAAGGGAAUUUUUUUUAAAGCCCAACUGACAAAAUGGCGACUGGAAGAACCUGUUACUAUGGCAACUGCGGGAAUCCGCGCUGACGGGGAGGGGGAAGGAAAAGGCAAUAAGAGGAAAGGCUGAAGGCGGGGCUUGGUUGCCUUGGCGACUGCUGCUUCGUUCUCUUCCCAAGUGCGGUCCGAUAUUAUAAAUUCGGAGUCACGCACGGCUAUUACUGUCGUUGGUGACGGCUCUCGGAGAGGAUUCUCUGUUGUCUUCGCUUUUGUGGUUUCUUUGCAGCCGCCGCUCCUCAUCCUCACAGACUACUGCAACGUUGCACGGAGAUCCAUUGGCUGAAGUUUUAGUAAAUCACCGCUUCGUAAAGACCGAAUAUUUGCUGCUUUCGUUGAUUUUCCUUUUUGGAGCUCACUGGGUAGAGACUGAUCCAACUCCAAGCCGUCUCAGGAAAAAACGUGCUUUCUAUAGGUUGUAGAAACUAUAGGAAAGGGGGGAUGUAGAAUACUCGAGAUAUACAGGUCUGCUACAGAGCAACGGAGCUCUGUACACCACGAUCUGCAAGGAGGUGUACUAAAAAGAAUUACAAAAAUGUCUACUGGGAAAAAGGGAUAUGCCUGAAGCCCUAUUGCAUAUAAUGCAGUCAGGAAUGCCAAAUGACUUGCAUGAGCUCCAUUGAAGUACGUUACAGGAUAGAAAACUGGUAAUGAAAAUGUGAAAGGGUUUUAGAGAAAUCUGUUCUGGGCCUGGAAUGACAGCACAGUAAUGAUUUCUGGAAGUGGUGUAAAUUUUCUGGGAUUGGAAUGACAGCCACAACAGAGCAGGAGAGUCUUAAGAGUGGCAUAAGUGUUCCAGGGUUAGAAUGACUCCCCCCCAAGUAGAAUGAUGGUCCCUGGUUAUGGCAUAAGUGUUCUGGGAGUGAAAUUACUGUUCCCUGAGUGGGAAUGAGGGUGCAUGGCCUUGGAAUGACAGCCCCCAGAGUGAAAUUAUAGUCCAUGGAAGCAGCAUAAUUGUUCUGGGACUGGAAUGAAGUAGCCCGCCAAGUAGAAUGACAGUCCCUGGGAGGAAUAUGAAUGUUCUGGAAUGGAAAUGAAGGUCAACAGAGUGGAAUGAUGGUCCCUGGGAAUGGAAUCAGUGCCCUGGAAAGUGAAGGACUUCCCUCAGUGACUAUUCUUGGGAGCAGGAUGAGCAUUCUAGGACAGGCUUAUACCACAUCAGUAAGACCAUUCCACUUUGGCAGCUAUCAUUCUAGUCCCAGAACACUUAUGCUAUAGCCAAGGACCAUCAUUCUACUCUGGGGGCUUUCAUUCUAAUCCCAGAGCAAUACAUUUGGUCCCAGUGGCCACCAUUUCU